rnacentral:rRNA from 1 species
AUGGCUCCAUCCGGUUCCAUGACGAGGCCACCGUGUGCUAACCAACAAGACAUGCCGAACAAGUGGGAGGACGCAUCUUUGGACAAGGUGAAGGAGAAAGAUUUCAACAUCCCGCCUUGUUGGUGUGGAGAUGUUUGCAAGGUGAAGGUGUCCACCGACCGAAAGAAAGCAUGGACGGAAGGGCGGAGAUAUUUUGUAUGCCCGAACUAUGCUUAUGAUCGUGCACUUCCAACUAACGCCUAUGACCAACCACCGGUAAGCUCGAGAAGUAAAAUGUUACUCUCAAAUGUGUGUCAACACCAACAACAAAUUUUUAUGCAGUCACCGCCUCCUCUAUGCAAGUACUUCACGUGGAUAGAUCUUGAAGUGCCAGAAGAUGUUAAAAAGGACCAAUACGCAGAUUGUCUUAGGCGGCAACGACGGUUCGAAGAAUCGUUUCGAAGAGGCUUGGAGGAAGAGUGUCGUCAGAAGGAGAGGAUGGAGCGGAAGAAACGAGAGGAGGAGAGGGCACGCCAAGCGAAACUUGCUCAUGAGGAGGAGAGGGCAAGAAAGCUUGCAAAGGCUCGCGAGGCGCAAGAGGAGGACUCGGCACGUGACAAGAAGGGGAAAUGGCCUCGCUCUACUCAGUAG